rnacentral:rRNA from 1 species
GACGAACGCUGGCGGCGUGCUUAACACAUGCAAGUCGAACGGUGAAGCGCCUUCCUUUUUGGUGGGUGUGGAUGAGUGGCGAACGGGUGAGUAACACGUGAGUAACCUGCCCCCUUCUUCUGGAUAACCGCAUGAAAGUGUGGCUAAUACGGGAUGUUCUGGGUCUGUCGCAUGAUGGGUCUGGGAAAGAUAUUGUUUCGGUGGGGGAUGGGCUCGCGGCCCAUCAGCUUGUUGGUGGGGUGAUGGCCUACCAAGGCGGUGACGGGUAGCCGGGGUGGGAGGGUGGACGGGCACAGUGGGACUGCGACGCGGCCCAGACUCCGACGGGAGGCAGCAGGGGGUAAUAUUGCACAAUGGGCGCAAGGCUGAUGCAGCGACGCCGGGGGAGGGAUGGAGGCCGUCGGGUUGUGAACCUCUUUCGCCAGUGAAGCAGGCCUGCCUCGUUUGUGGGUGGGUUGACGGUAGCUGGAUAAGAAGCGCCGGCUAACUACGUG